rnacentral:rRNA from 1 species
UGGGGAAUAUUGGGCAAUGGGCGCAAGCCUGACCCAGCAACGCCGCGUGAGGGAAGAAGGCUUUCGGGUUGUAAACCUCUGUCCUUGGUGACGAAAAACAUGACGGUAGCCAAGGAGGAAGCACCGGCUAACUACGUGCCAGCAGCCGCGGUAAUACGUAGGGGGCGAGCGUUGUCCGGAAUUACUGGGCGUAAAGGGUGCGUAGGUGGCCUUUUAAGUUGGAUGUGAAAUCCCCGAGCUUAACUUGGGUGGUGCAUC